UUGUAACUGGCAUAUCUCCUAAACCAUUACUCUUUUUGGUAUGAAACCAAUUCGCUGCGUGCUCUGGUUGAGUUGAGAAUCUAUAGAAACUGGUUUCACGGUUAAAUUCCUUAUGGUUGCAAAGAUAUCCUUCUUUGAGUGCACCUAUGUCGCUGCUGGCUCCAAUGUAGCUUGUAUGGUUGAUCUCAUGAGUUGGUGGUCCAGCUACUGACUUUAGGUCCUCAUCAUUCCCUCCCUCUUCAAAAGGUUUUGUCCUCAAAACCAAUUUACCUUGGUAUAUGCACGGUUUUGUGAUGCAUUGUCCAUCUGGUGGUUCUUCUUUGAUCAGUAGGGAAGCUAUGCCCCCUUUCCAUGGUCGGUCUAUGAUUUCCCUUGGAAGGAUCGUGGUCUCCUUUUCGAAAUCUCCUAUUUCACAAUUGGUUUCUCCAUUGACCACUGCUUGGGUGUAAGGUUGUGAGUUUGGUUCUGGAUGCUUCUCCAUUGUACCUAUAUCUGAAUCAUCACUUAUGGGCAAGAGCAAGUGUUUCAUACUUGAAGUGGACGAUUCAAAAAUAUAAUAUUGAGUAAGAUUUAGAGCUUCACUUACCUGGUUAUCUUGCAUUGAUUCAGCUUUGGUAUUUACUACCUCUAAAGCUUGAUCAGCUGGUGUAGAGGUCUCUAGGGUAGAUUGCUCAUUAUUCUCUUGUUGUUUAGCUUCUGUACGUGUCUCCUCAUUACCUAGACCUUCAUCAACAUUCUGGACAGAGUGCAAGUGCAUCAUACCAGUGUUUUGAUAAGUAAGAUUAUUCACUUUAAGUUCAGAAAUCACCUUAUCAAGUGUUGGACUUGAUUGCGCAGCAAGGUUGGGCUCUUGUUCCUUGAUUUCUAUGUUAGUACCUGAAAUACUUUCAACCUUUUGGGCGCUAGACAAGUGUGUUAAGACAGUCAUGGAAUUACUAGAAACAGAAGUAGAUCUAGCUUUAAUCAAGUUGAUAAGAUCAUCAAUAUGUUUAUCCAUUCUAGAAAAGGAAUCAUCAAUUCUAGUAUCGGAAUCACUUACCUCCAAGUUUGUUUCUUUUGCUUCAGAUACUACUGACUUCACAACUCGUUUUGUGGGACACUCCUUUGCUAGAUGGCCCUUGCCUUGACACCUAUAACAAAUAACCUCAGAUGGUUUUAAAGAGUUAGAGUGCUCACCUUGGUUUCGUUUGACUUGAGGUGGAUGCACUGGCCUUGAACUUUGUCUUUGGGAAACAACUUCUCUCUGAACUGUGGGUUGCAAGACUUGGUGCUUUAUUAAUCUCCUUGUGGACACCUUCUGAAUGUAUUUUGCCUUCUUCACAAACUCACUAUACAUGAGCAUCUUAACCUCUUUCCAAGUAAAAGCCGGAUCAUUGAAAUAGAUCCUAUCAGCAUCUAGCUGACUCCACCAAUUGUAUGCCUCUCCGGUUAAGGUAUCCUUCGCAUAAGUUAGCUUUAGCUUCUCUGGAAUUCUCCAAGCUAUAAACCAUUGCUCCAUGUCGUCCUCCCACCUUAGAUAUGCACUUGGUCCUUGCUUAUGACCAGAAAAAUGUAUAGAUGGUGCAGCCAAGCGAUUCUGAUAAAACUGAUCUCCAUUGUAGUUCCAUGGCGUGCUGUGAGCAUGUCUUGAUAGACUCCCAUGAUAAGAUCUUGAUGGUGCAGCCACGGUGGUCUUUUCUCUUCUAGGACACGCUUGAGAAUAAUAUUUCCCUUCAGAACUAUCCUCAUAGAUGAGUUGGGAUUUGGGACCAUAGCAAGUUGAAUACUGGUCCAUUGAUUCUGGUUCCACCUCUGGGUAUUCUUGUUCAUCGUUUGGGACAUACUCUGGAACAGAGUCUGCGCACCAAUGACCUUCAGUGUGGUCAUCUCCAUCGUCCCAACAAUCCUGGUCAGCUUCUUCUCCCCAAUCUACCUCAGACGUGUUGUAUUCUUCAGCCUCUUCUUCUGAGUAAUCCUCCAUUGGCGUCUUCUCUAUCUUUUCUCAGAGUUUGCCUUGCACAAACAGAAGAAAAAGGAAUUAAGUCGUGGCUUAGCAAAAGAAAGGAGAGAAGAAUAAGAAAGAACAAAAAAAUGGAAACUUAGUAUCUCCUUGUUUUUAUUUUAUUUAUUUAUUUAUAUUUUUUUUUGGAAAAUUAAAACAAAUGAAAAAGAAUUCACUUUUUUUUUUUGUUUUUUUUUUUUUUUUUAAUGGAAACACGAAAUAUAUAAAACUAAGACAAUGAAAUUAACUUUUUAUUCUGGUUUUAUAAUUUUUAGAAUUUAAAAGAAGCAAGAAACAAAAUUGACCUUUUUUUUUUUAUAGUAAGUGAAUAAACCGAAAUGGAAACUAAGGAAACAACUAAUGCAAACACGAUUUCUUUUGGAUUUUCAAAUUUAUAUGAAUCAAAGAAAGUAAAUGGUCAUCUUUGUCGUGCCUCCCUGGUUUUAACACCAAGAACAAGCAAAUGCAAAAAUGGACAGAAAUUGCAAACAAUUUUUAUGGUUUUUUUUUAUAUGAUUUUAUAAAUGAAACAAAUGCAAAAGAGAUGAAACAAAUAAACAAAUGCAAAUGAAUAGAGACAAGGAUAGAUAUAACCUGAUAGAUAGGAGCUUUUGAAGCUCUGAUACCAAAAAUGAUACAAGCCUAAGCUAACAAAGGCUAGAUCACAAGGCAACAAGAGUUGUCAAGCUUGAAUGGGUCGAUUGUCGCCACAAAGGGUUGCGGAAAUAUCCCUUUGAUAAGACCAGAAGCCUGCGCCUAUGUGAAUCCACACAAAGACAGAGACCUACACUUGUAUCCUAGAAUGAAUCCACAAACUAAGGAGACAAGCAAACGGACAAGAAAUCUAAAGGAAUCCACCUAAAGACUAAUUGAACAAAACAAAGACAAACUUUGUAAACUGAAUAAUACUUUAUUAAUUUCGUGCAAGGGUGAUUUACAAAUGAGACUUAGCUCUGUUUAAAUAGAAAAGAACACAAAUGCCUAAAAGAAUAACUUGGAAAGAAAUAAUAAGUGAAAAAAACUAGCCGUUGGUCUUUAAUAACUCCAAGUGUGAAUGCAUCCAUGUAAGGUAAGUUGACAAAUAAGGGAUUCAUCUUGAUCAUGUGGCUGCUGGUGCAUGGUAGAAACUCUCCCACUGCUCUUAGAUGUAAUGAAUAAUCUCCUGGUUUCCACACGUGAGUUUGAGUUGCACACUCCUUAAGCAAAGAAUUACUUUCCUUAAUUAGAACCAAUUCGGAUGCAGUGUAGAUAGUCUGACUUGUAACUGGCAUAUCUCCUAAACCAUUACUCUUUUUGGUAUGAAACCAAUUCGCUGCGUGCUCUGGUUGAGUUGAGAAUCUAUAGAAACUGGUUUCACGGUUAAAUUCCUUAUGGUUGCAAAGAUAUCCUUCUUUGAGUGCACCUAUGUCGCUGCUGGCUCCAAUGUAGCUUGUAUGGUUGAUCUCAUGAGUUGGUGGUCCAGCUACUGACUUUAGGUCCUCAUCAGGAGAUCCUUGGACAAGCUUGGAACCUUGAAGAAGCUCCCUCAUUAAAAACCUUAGCAAGAAAACCCAUUGGGACAAAACUUGCUAAGGGAAAAAGAGUGGAGUUUCCACAAAGCUUAGGGAUUGGCCAGUGAGCCUAAGGAACUUCAGAUUCAUCAUGGUGGAGUCCUUAGGCUCUGGAUCGUGGCCUAAUAGGUAUAGCAAGUAUGAAUCACCAUAACUUGCUAUCCUUGAGCACAAGUAGCAGGCUGGAUCAUUUUGUGGCCGGUUUAGAGUCUCCCCCUCUCAGCUGGCUUCAAGCCACCUUAGGAAGGCAAGGAAACGACCAGACCAUCUUCCCUGAACCCCCAGCAAAGUUACUUGUUCUUUAGAACUUGGCUUGACCUCUUCAUGGACCAUAGACCCGGUUUGGGUCUCCCCCUCUCAACUGACUUCUUUGGCCAUCUUAGAUAGACUAGGACACGACCGGAUCAUCAUCAUCAUCUUCAGUGAGGCUCAAGCUUAUUUUGGUACCUGAUACACCAUUCUAAAAUUGCAUCAGUUCUUAAGGAAAUGCACUCAUCACAUCAAACUCAAUAAUAUAAAGUAUAAGGACAAUCAUGAAUGUAUUGAGAUGAGUUUAAGGUGCUUCCCUUUCAUAAGAAUGGUGAGGCGUGGACUCCAAUUGAAUCCCACUUGGUAAGACACAGUCCGGAUUAUGGAAGCUCAAUCACACACUUGGAACUGAGCUUCUUUGAUCCGGUGGGUACUGAGUAAUGCAAGAGUGAAUCCACCACUUGCAAACUCCAAUUUUGAUCGGAGGUGAGGCAAUGAACGACUUGGAUUGGCGCCAGUUGCUUCACCGUCAAAUCACCUUUGAGCUUCUUCUUAUGACCUGAGCUUGUCUCCCCCUUUCUUCUGGCUUCUUGCCUCCAUUUAGGAGUUGAGACAAAGCUUUUCUUUGUUCAUGAGCUCAAUAGGUACCUGAUUCAAUCAUCCAAAAAUUGUAUGUAUCAAUUCUCAAGGGGCAAACCUAUUCACUCAUAAGAAUAAUAAUGGUUUUAGGUACUUCCCUUGCAUCAGUUUGUUGAAUGUUGGUGAGGAUUACUAAGCACUUGAAUCCUCCACGCCAUUCCUUCUCUCAACCAGCCUUUGCAUUGUUCUCUUGAAGUUUCAACAUGUAGGGGGACUUUGCAACUCCAUAAUUUGCCACCAUCAUGUGAUUGCUUAGCCAAGAAUGUCCCUGAUUGAAUAAUCCUUGCAUCUGGCUGGUAAGAACAGUGAGGAGUGACAGCUUCUUCAGACUGAUCACUUAAGUCCUCUUUUAAUUCGCCAACCUCUUGCUGGUCUUCUAUGAGGAAAUGGGACACUGGAUACAGUAAGCUUCAUGGAUCUUUUGGUAGCUCACUGAUAUUCCCCUCCUCAAGCUUGACUGAGUAUAGUGACAAGCUUGAACGUGAGCUUCAAUGAGUUUUGAACUGGGAGCACAACAAUACCAACAUCUGCGCUUAAGCCAACCAGUUCACCAUCUUCCAGGAGCACAACAAUACCAACAUCUGCGCUUAAGCCAACUGGAUCACCAUUUGCCUUCAGCUCCAAUGUCUUUGGACCACCAGUCUCCUCAUGACUUAGGUGAUGGCCUUCCUUGUGAGUCUCUUGAACCAGGAGCACAACAGCUCCUACGCCUGCGCUUAAGUCAACUGAUUCCACUCACAAGGUAUCAUUACAUGGUCAGGACUAAACACCUUGAUCCAUGCCUCUGACCACCGGCCACUCUUGGCUUAGUGAUGGCCUUUUCUCUUGAGUGCACCUCCUGUACAUCCUCUUGGCAUCAGGUAAGUCACUUCUGAGCAGUUUCUCCAAUUCUCCAACAUCCUUUCUAUCUUCAGGGUAGGAAAUGGGCAGACACAUAGAUAGGAUUUGGGACUGGGCAAUCUCCACGGUUCAGGAAUAUCCAUCUUGGGAGGCUCUGAAAAACGUGGGCAAUGCCUUCUUCUUUGUCUUAGUUUGAUGAUGUACAGAGAUCACCUCUUGUGUACCUGAAACAUCACUCAAACUCCAGCAAGAAUCAGACCACACACACUAGGAUCAGCCCUUGAUAAUUCACCAAGUCUGAUCCCAAUGUUUUAAGAGAAAGAAAAUAUGCAAUGAACAGAAUCUAAACAACUCAUUCAGUCAUCUUGAACAAUAUAUAUAUAAUGCAAUACAAGACCAGGAGACUCUCCUAGACCUUUAUCAAUGCAACAAGACAAUGACAGUAGCUAAACAAAUCGCCUAGCAUAAUACAAACAGAAACAAUUAAUCUAGGACAGGAACUAGACAAUACCAUGCUAGACAACUCCUAGAAAUAAUUUAAGAAACAGAGCAACACACACAAUUUAAGUAUCAUGGGACAGAAACUAGGUUCAACAACUCUAGCAACUUGAACCUGUCCCAAGGAUACCAAACACACCACUCAACACAACCAGACAUAACUACUCAAGCUCUUAUUAAAGGUAGGAGGUUAACUUACUACAAACAAGGAACCUGAGCUGGUUCCUUGAACCUCCAAGGCACACUGUUCACUUGAACUUGACAGAUUUGGAGUUUGGGAUCUCUACCCCACGCCAUUUCCUUGUGUGUGCUUUCCCUUUAGACCACUCAUGCUUAAGACCCCUCCUUUCUUCCUGAUUACCAGGCGCCACCUUCUGGCACACAGUGAGAGACUCCACUUUGGGAAGAACUUGAAAAACACUUGUACAGACUUGGUUUGGAGCAUUGCUUGCCAAACAGCUCCAAAACCUUCUUUCUCCAAGAGAUCUCUUCAGGCUGAACAGGAGGAAGGCUGAUAGACCUUGGGAAGUCUCUGGACACGCCAUGUUUGUAGUCUUCUUCCUCUUGAAGAGAUUGAACAGCUGGCUGGACAGAAACUCUCCAAUGAUUUGAAAUAACAAUGAGGGUGAGCCUAUGCUUGAAUUGUGGAAGCUUUGAGUUUCAGAUACUAAAGACCUCCUUUAUCUUGAGUUCUGGUGAGUCUCUUCCCUCCUGGAAAAGCUUUAGACCAGAGGAUACAAGGAUGAACAGAAACAGAGAUUUUUGAAGAGAAGUAUGAACUGUAAUAGAUUUGCGGAAGCUCUAUGGAUUCUCAGGAGCUUGGAGCUCUGAUACCAUGUGAGAAUAGACAGAUUAUGGUGUGUGAGGGUUGUUUAGAACAGAGAGUGGUCGGAUUGAAAGAGAACAGAGUGAAGAGAGUAAGUGAGAAUUAAAGAGACUGCAAUGGAUAAUAAGAGAGAUUAAGUGAGAUUUAAGAGAGUAUGAGAGAGAUUCUUGUAACCAGAGAUCAGGGAGAGUAUAAGAGACUUGAGAAUGGUGAAGAAGAAAGGGGAAACUCCCCCA
rnacentral:lncRNA from 1 species